GAUCUGUGAUAUUAAUUUUACGAUAUUGGAGAUCUAGAGUUUCUUAAAAACACCGUAGACACAUCGGAAUUGUCCGAGUCGAUAUCACUGCACGCAGCCAAAACAAGCAAUCGCAGAAUAGCUACAUGUAUUGCACCGUGUGAAUGUCAUUCUAAGUAUACAAAAGCAUACACGAAUACAAUUAGCGAUGAAAACUAAGAUCAACUAACUGUGACAUCUAUAUUUAAUGUUUAUGUAGCUUUUGAAAUAUAAAAUUAAUAC
rnacentral:lncRNA from 1 species